GACGAACGCUGGCGGCGUGCUUAACACAUGCAAGUCGAACGAAGAGCGAUGGACGCUUGCUUCUAUCAAUCUUAGUGGCGAACGGGUGAGUAACGCGUAAUCAACCUGCCCUUCAGAGGGGGACAACAGUUGGAAACGACUGCUAAUACCGCAUACGAUCUAAUCUCGGCAUCGAGGAUAGAUGAAAGGUGGCCUCUACAUGUAAGCUAUCACUGAAGGAGGGGAUUGCGUCUGAUUAGCUAGUUGGAGGGGUAACGGCCCACCAAGGCGAUGAUCAGUAGCCGGUCUGAGAGGAUGAGCGGCCACAUUGGGACUGAGACACGGCCCAGACUCCUACGGGAGGCAGCAGUGGGGAAUCUUCCGCAAUGGACGAAAGUCUGACGGAGCAACGCCGCGGGAGUGAUGACGGCCGUCGGGUUGUAAAGCUCUGUUAAUCGGGACGAAAGGCCUUCUUGCGAACAGUUAGAAGGAUUGACGGUACCGGAAUAGAAAGCCACGGCUAACUACGUG
rnacentral:rRNA from 1 species